AAGAAGGCCUUCGGGUUGUAAAGCCCUUUUGUACGGGAGGAAAAGCUGCCGGGUAGUAUCCGGUGGUCAUGACGGUACCGUAAGAAUAAGCACCGGCUAACUUCGUGC
rnacentral:rRNA from 1 species